UACGUAGGGGGCAAGCGUUGUCCGGAUUUAUUGGGCGUAAAGAGCGUGUAGGCGGCCAAAUAGGUCGGUUGUGAAAACUGGAGGCUUAACCUUCAGACGUCGAUGGAAACCGUGCGGCUAGAGUCCGGAAGAGGAGAAUGGAAUUCCUGGUGUAGCGGUGAAAUGCGCAGAUAUCAGGAAGAACACCCGUGGCUAAGGCGGUUCUCUAGUACGGUACUGACGCUGAGACGCGAAAGCGUGGGGAGCGAACAGG
rnacentral:rRNA from 1 species